rnacentral:rRNA from 1 species
GGACCUCAGAUCAGGCAAGAUUACCCGCUGAGUUAAGCAUNCACUAAGCG